GGCUGAGAGUAGUGGACACAGAGCCCUGUGCUAAAAAGAGCAGCGACACCAGGCCAGAGACUGUACUUAUAGAGUAACGUCUGUUUGCAAGGUUGGGCCUUACAGAGUGUCUGGGAAUACAGAUUGUGAACUAUGAAGAAAACCAAUCCCAGAACUAAUGGGAGCGGCUUACUGUGCCCAAACUGUGUAACAAAACAGUCUACAAUCAACAUCUGCUUUUCUUCUGGGAAUCUGGAGUUUCGGCACGUUUUAGAGCCUCCCCAGGGCAAGCCCUCCUGAAACUGACCUCUCAGGUCCUGCUGUGUGCGUGCAGCGCCCGUGCUCUGCCUCGGCAUUCGAAGAGAAGUUCUCAGGGGCGUGUGUCUCUGCUCAUCCAGCCACCAAGUUGCAGAUGCUACCAUGACACCAACCUGACUUCUCUGGACAGAUGACAUCACUGAUGUCCCCUAGACCCCACCUCCCCAGAGCCCUGCCCCACUAGGGAAAGAUAGAACAGGCUGGGGG